rnacentral:rRNA from 1 species
GAUGAACGCUGGCGGCGUGCUUAACACAUGCAAGUCGAACGAUGAAGCCCAGCUUGCUGGGUGGAUUAGUGGCGAACGGGUGAGUAACACGUGAGUAACCUGCCCUUGACUCUGGGAUAAGCCCGGGAAACUGGGUCUAAUACCUGAUAGGAGCGCCUGUCGCCUGACGGGUGCUGGAAAGAUUUUUCGGUCAUGGAUGGACUCGCGGCCUAUCAGCUUGUUGGUGAGGUAAUGGCUCACCAAGGCGACGACGGGUAGCCGGCCCGGGAGGGUGACCGGCCACACUGGGACUGAGACACGGCCCAGACUCCUACGGGCGGCAGCAGUGGGGAAUAUUGCACAAUGGGCGGAAGCCUGAUGCAGCGGCGCCGCGUGCGGGAUGACGGCCUUCGGGUUGUAAACCUCUUUCAGUAGGGAAGAAGCGAAAGUGACGGUACCUGCAGAAGAAGCACCGGCUAACUACGUG